rnacentral:lncRNA from 1 species
CUUCCUGCCGCCCUGUUUGUCUUGGGCCACCGGGAGGGGCCGACCCCGCUGUCAGCUCCAGCAGGCUCCUGCCAGGACCCAGCCCAGGGUCAGAGGCUCAGGCAUUUUGGAUCCAUCAAGCUCCCCAGCCCAGGAGAGACACCCCCCCCCAACCCAGAGCAAGACACCCUCUCCUCCUCCCACCUCCCACCCUGGGAGGGUGUCCCCAGCACUGGUCUCUGGAGGCAUGAAAAAGCAGGUUCAACUCACAACCGGAAAAGGGACAGGUCAAGGUUCCCAGAGGAUGAAAUGUCAGCCUUCGGCGGCGGCAAUGCCAUUCCGCCGGAGGCGCUGAAAAUAGACGCAAAAACAGAAGCCUCAAGUCUCCGGAGGCCAGAGAAGGAGAGACAGAAAGAAAGUGAACUCGAGAAGGGCCAGCUUGGAAGGACUUUGCCCUUUUAAAUGUGACCUUGCCACAUGCAAAAUUCAGGUAGAAACAAAACCUGUACGAGCUGUGACCACAGGAAGAAACUGAGGCUCAGAGACACAAAUGACUGACCCCCAGACCACACAGCUAAUGAAAUGGUGGAGUUAGGAUUUGAACCCAGGUCUGUCUGAGCCUGCGUAGUUAUUUCCCAUAAAUGUGCUGCCCCCCUAUGCCUCCCUGUUUUCAUCUACCAAUUAGGGAUAGUCACACAAUCCAAGAAACGGCAUCAUUCUGUGCUCUGUAACCAACAUGGCAGCCUCGUGUGACAUAUCUGUUCAUGGAUACUUGGCUGCGUCAAUGAAUGGAUAUGUGGAUGGAUAAUGGGACAGUCAGACAGAUAAAUGGAUAGACAGUUGGAUGAAUGAGUGCCAUGCUUGUGAGUGGGACGGAAAGAUGAAGGGAUGGAUGGAUGGAUGGAUGGAAGGAUGACCUAUGAGCAGAUAGACUGUUUCGUGGACCAGUAGGUAGAUAGGUAGAUGAAUAGAUGGGUGAUUGAAGGGGUGAUGGGUGACUGGAAGGAUGGAUGGAUGGAUGGAUGGGCCAACAGAUGGGUGAAUAGAUAGAUAAGUAUGCAAUGAAUGGACGGAUGAACCAACGGACAGACAGAUGGCUGCAUGGAGGAUUGGAUGAAGAACAGAAGAAGGCUGGAGGGAGAGAUGGCUUGGAAGUUAGAUGGGUGAGUGGAUGGGUGGGUCCCUUUCUGAUCUAACUCAAAUUGCACAGGAUACUCUUUCUCAAACACCCAAAGCCCAUCCCAAGCUGAGGUCCAGCUCUGCGGUCUGGGUGCUGCCUGGGGAUCGUCAGAGUCGCCUUAUGGAGCAGGUGUCCUCUCCGCUGUGCCAACAACCUUGUGGCAGGAGGAAGAUGAAUGGGGGCCUGUGCAGAGCCCUGGCCAAAGCACAGGGGCUGCUCUCUUCUCUCCUCCAACUGUGCCGUGUCCCGGCUCCAGAGUCACAGCUACCAGCAGAGCAGCCUCCCCGUCAUCGGCCCUCUCCCUCCACUGAGGCUGGGAGGCUGUGGGCAAACCAGCAGCCCCCCUCCCUCCCCACUAAAGAAGCUGGCGGGAGAGCCCUGGGCUGGAGACAGGAGGGCUGGGGACAUCUCCUUCCCUGACACUGGCCUGACAUGUUCCUAGAGGGCACUGCCCACCCAGGGGCCCUGCCACAGGCGGAUCCAGACAGAGGUGCUCCAGCCACAGGCCCUGGUGCUCCUCCUCAGAGCCCAGGGCCCUCCAGCCGCACUGACCGAGACCGUCUCCAGGGGUCCUUCCAGCCUCAGCAGACUGAGAUUCUGGCCACGAAAACCAAGCCGCCGCAGCCCACCAGGGAAACGCAGCUGGACAGAGAGAGGAUACCUCUUUGUCAGGACUCCUAACCUCCCCUGGCCACAUGUGUCCCCUUGGAUGUGCACUGGGCCAAGCUCUGCCCUCCCCGGGUACCACGUUCCCAUCCCUGCCCUGAGCCCAUUUGGGAAGCCAGCAUAGGUUAGGGACUGGGCCAUUUCCACAGGGCAGGAGUCUGGGAGGUCCUGGGCCCGGCAGGGAGGGGUCUGCAGAAGGAGCAGAGUGAGUAUGGAGCCGAGAGGUGCCACAUGUGCCCCAGAGUGGGAGUGAGGGGAAAGGGUGGUCAGUGAGAGCAGGAGGUCCCAGGCAGGCUGAGGGAACCAGGGUCCCUUCAGAGAAGCCCGUGGCCCCUGCUGCACGCUCCAUGACCUUUGCAGGAAGGAGGCUUAGGGCUGACCUCCUGCCAUGAUGUGGCCACCACUCAGGGCCACCACGGGGCCCCAGCUCGUUCCCCUUCCAUC